ACCCCGCGAGGGGAAAUGAGGGGCGCCGCUGAAGAAGCGGUGCCCACUGGGCAAGUGCUGCCCAAAGGACUCCCGGAGCUGGACGGCACUGAACUAAGGCCACCACCUGUGAGAUCAAGCCCCUCUGGCCCUGUAAUCAAGUGCCCGCAGGGAUCCAUGGUCCAUGGGGACCACUCUGAGAACAGGUGUUCCCAGUGCUAGCUCUGGUUUGAGUUUCAGUUCUCUGCCAAUUUCUCUUAUUUGCCUCCCCCUCUCCCCCAAUUCAAUACAAUCCUACGGAGUUGGUUUUUGUUUUUGUUUUUUUGCUGCGUUUUGUUUGCUGCUGAGGAAACAGCCUUUGAAAGAAUAAGGGACAUGGGCAAGGCCACGUAGGAACUGCUUCCCUUGCAACCAGUAUAGGCAUGUGGAUAGAUUCUGCCAGUCAAGUACCCAUGGACCAGAUUUUAAUUUGAAAAGAAACACAUUUAUCUUCCCAUUUCUCUAUUGUAUCUUAGUGAAAAAUGCCAAGACGUCAUCAGCGGAUAAGACAGGAAACAAGAUUGUUGGGGGCCAUACAAAUAAUGACUGGUCUGAUUGUUCACUGCGUGGGACUGCUCUGGACAUAUUUGUUUACUACACAAGCUAUUAUAUUUGGAAAAAUGUAUCUUCCUCUCGUAGUAAUAACAGGAUAUGCAUAUUGGUCAUCUGUGUGUUUUAUCUUCUCGGGAGUCUUUGCAGUAUUAACAGAGAGGAUGCAUUCAGUGUUCUUGAUGUCCUAUACUAUGGUAGUGAACAUCGUAAGUGCCUGCACUGCAGUGAUUGGCCUGAUUAUACUAUCACUUGAGUUUAUAAUAUAUAGUAUGACUACAAAACCUCCUAUUUGGCCAGAGAGAAGUGGUAAAAUCCUUUCAGAAUAUCUAUUCCUAUUCACCUUGUUGGAGUUAUUUAUGGCGUGUACAGUGGUCCAUUGGAUAUACAAAGCUAAACAACGCAGAUAAUAAAGAUGUAGUACACAGCAGAAGGGAAUCCUUUACCUACAUAUUAAAGAACCAUAAUGACGUGAGUCAAGAAGAAAGUGUAGUGCCGAAUGAAGAACUUCAUUUUGUUCAAGAGGCUUCUUGGAAAAUGCAUUUUAAUUAAGUCCAUCACAGUAUUUCCUUUCCCCCACUUCAUUAAUAAAAAUUUUAAUUGAUAAA